rnacentral:rRNA from 1 species
GACGAACGCUGGCGGCGUGCUUAACACAUGCAAGUCGAACGGAAAGGCCCUGCUUUUGUGGGGUGCUCGAGUGGCGAACGGGUGUGUAACACGUGAGUAAUCUGCCCUAGACUUUGGGAUAACUUCAGGAAACUGGGGAUAAUACCGGAUAGGAGCUCCUGCUGCAUGGUGGGGGUUGGAAAGUUUCGGCGGUUGGGGAUGGACUCGCGGCUUAUCAGCUUGUUGGUGGGGUAGUGGCUUACCAAGGCUUUGACGGGUAGCCGGCCUGAGAGGGUGACCGGCCACAUGGGGACUGAGAUACGGCCCAGACUCCUACGGGAGGCAGCAGUGGGGAAUAUUGCACAAUGGGCGGAAGCCUGAUGCAGCAACGCCGCGUGCGGGAUGACGGCCUUCGGGUUGUAAACCGCUUUCGCCUGUGACGAAGCGUGAGUGACGGUAAUGGGUAAAGAAGCACCGGCUAACUACGUG